GUUGAAUAGACAUCGCGGUAGUGACACGGAAUAAAAAGUGUUUUUGGCUCCAAUUCUGACAAUGAUGCGCACGUACAGCUGUAUGUUAACGACACGAUGAAACUCUCCGGGAUACCGUUCAGCAUACGUGUGAUUGUUCUCGUGUCGUCCGUCAUACCACUACGUGCUUAUAUCUACCAACACGGGAUCAUACACUACAGGACUGACAAAGACUUCAGCAAGGAUUGCUCCACACACUUGGACACGGAGAUGCUGUGGUUUUACAUAAGGCAUCAUUAUAACGCUGCGGCAGAGGCGUACGUGAAGACAGCGAUCGCAGACAGUGUGUUCUGGACAUUGGACGGCUCGGUCAGCGC